rnacentral:rRNA from 1 species
UACGAAGGGGGCUAGCGUUGCUCGGAAUCACUGGACGUAAAGCGCACGUAGGCGGAUCUUUAAGUCAGGGGUGAAAUCCUGGAGCUCAACUCCAGAACUGCCUUUGAUACUGGGGAUCUCGAGUCCGGAAGAGGUGAGUGGAACUCCGAGUGUAGAGGUGAAAUUCGUAGAUAUUCGGAAGAACACCAGUGGCGAAGGCGGCUCACUGGUCCGGUACUGACGCUGAGGUGCGAAAGCGUGGGGAGCAAACAGG